rnacentral:scRNA from 1 species
AUGUGUCCGCUGGUGAGCGUGACGCGAUCCUCGCU